AAAGCGGCGAAAGGGAGAGUAACGCGUGGAUUACCUACCCCGGAUCCGGGAUAGCUGCGGGAAACUGCAGGUAAUACCGGAUAAUGUCUCCGGACCAAAGGUGUGAUUCCGUCUGGGGAUGGGUCCGCGGUCCUAUUAGCUUGUUGGUGGGGUAAUGGCCUACCAAGGCGAAGAUGGUAGCGGGUGUGAGAGCAUGGCCCGUCUCACUGGGACUGAGACACUGCCCAGACACCUACGGGUGGCUGCAGUCGAGAAUCUUCCGCAAUGGGCGCAAGCCUGACGGAGCGACGCCGCGUGCGGGAUGAAGGCCUUCGGGUUGUAAACCGCUGUCAGAGGGGAGGAAAUGCAUAGGGGCACUCUCCUAUGUUUGACCGAUCCUCAGAGGAAGUCCGGGCUAAGUUCGUG
rnacentral:rRNA from 1 species